rnacentral:rRNA from 1 species
UACGAAGGGGGCUAGCGUUGCUCGGAUUGACUGGGCGUAAAGGGCGCGUAGGCGGUUUGCACAGUCAGACGUGAAAUUCCUGGGCUCAACCUGGGGGCUGCGUUUGAUACGUGCAGGCUUGAGUUCGGAAGAGGGUCGUGGAAUUCCCAGUGUAGAGGUGAAAUUCGUAGAUAUCGGGAGGAACACCAGUGGCGAAGGCGGCAUCCUGGCCAUGUCCUGACGCUCAGGGCGAAAGCGAUGGGGAGCAAGCCGGGAUUAAGCAUGAUCCC